rnacentral:tRNA from 1 species
GAGGAUGUAAUUCAGUGGAAGAGUGCUUGUCUAGAAUGUGCAAGGCCCUGGGUUCAAUUCCUAGCACCUCA